UCCUACGGGGGGCAGCAGUGAGGAAUAUUGGUCAAUGGGCGGGAGCCUGAACCAGCCAAGUCGCGUGAGGGAAGACGGUCCUAUGGAUUGUAAACCUCUUUAGGCGGGGAGCAAUGCCGGGCACGCGUGCCCGGAGGGAGAGUACCCGCAGAAUAAGCAUCGGCUAACUCCGUGCCAGCAGCCGCGGUAAUACGGAGGAUGCGAGCGUUAUCCGGAUUUAUUGGGUUUAAAGGGUGCGUAGGCGGGACGGUAAGUCAGCGGUAAAAAUGCGGAGCUCAACUCCGUCGAGCCGUUGAAACUGUCGU
rnacentral:rRNA from 1 species